rnacentral:misc_RNA from 1 species
CACCUUAUCUUAUCACACGUAAUCAAAUACUAUAUAUAUACUUUGCAGAUAAUUUUAUUGUUAAAGAUUAAAUCUCACUUGUACAGAAACUUGCAUCAUUAAUAAAAUAAUAAUCAUAAAUCUAUAUUAUUAUAAAUUGUAACAUAGAAAUUGAAUAAACUUGAUAAUUGAUCAAUGAAUUAAAAACAAUUUAAACAUUUAUUUGCAAUUAUUACAGUAUUCUAUUUUAUUAAACAUGUUUGCCAGUGAGAGGUUAGUUUCUCGGUUAAACUUACGUAUUGUAUCAAGACAUCUUUCUCCUGUAUUAGAUAUAUUUAAAAAUGCACAUUCUGUUUCGAUGAAAUAUUUUGUACCAACUGUUGUAAGAUUUACUCAUGAUUUAGUUGUUCAACAAGUAUCUCCUUUAAACCGAUCAAAUUUACCAGUAAACAAGUAUUGUUUGAGAUCACAUACUUGUGGUGAGUUAACUAGCAAAAAUGUUGGAACUAUGGUACAGCUUAGCGGUUGGAUUGAGUUUCGGAGAAUGAACAAGUUUAUAAUUUUAAGAGAUGCAUAUGGUUCUACACAACUUUUCAUAUCUGAUAAUAGAACAGAUUUAAUGGAGAUCAUAAAAGAUCUACCAUAUGAAAGCGUUAUAUGUGCUAUUGGUAUGGUAAAUAUGAGACCUGAAGGACAAGUAAACCAAAAAAUGAAGACCGGUGAUAUAGAAAUACAACUUGAUUCUAUAAAAGUUUUAAAUAAAGCAGUAGCACAUCUUCCAUUUUCUAUUAGAUCAUUUAAUAAGGCAAAGGAAGUAACUCAAAUGAAAUACAGAUAUCUUGCUUUAAGGUAUCCUGAAAUACAAAAGAAUUUAAGAAUACGUUCUAAACUUUUAAUGAAGAUGAGAGAAUACUUAAUCAAUGAGUGUGACUUCGUAGAUGUAGAAACACCAACACUUUUUAAAAAUACACCUGGAGGUGCACAAGAAUUUAUAGUUCCAACAAAACAUCCAGGAAAAUUUUAUUCCCUUGUGCAAAGCCCACAGCAAUUCAAACAAUUACUUAUGGUGGGUGGAAUAGAUAGGUAUUUUCAAAUUGCUCGAUGUUACAGGGAUGAAGGUGCAAGACAUGAUAGACAACCAGAAUUUACACAGCUUGAUAUUGAAAUGUCAUUUGCUGAUCAAGAGGGAAUAAUAGAUUUAAUCGAAAAUCUACUAAAAUAUAGUUUGCCAGAAACUAUAACUACACCUUUCAAACGCAUGACCUAUGAGGAUGCAAUGAAGUUGUAUGGUACAGAUCAACCAGACUUGAGAAUACCUUAUGAAAUUCAGUAUCUUACAAAACUUGUUAAUAUAACUACAUUGGAGGAAGAUAUGAAAUUAACAAAUAGCAAAGAUUGCGAAAUCUGUGCUUUAGUUUUUCCUAAUAAACAUGAAUACUUAACACAUUCUAUUAGAAAAGAAUUUAAUGAUAUAAAAAACAAAUAUUUUCCAACUGUCAAACUGUUUCAAAUAAAAAUUUCGGGUAAUUCUUGGAAAUUACAAUUGGAUAAAUUAUUUUCUACGAAAAUAGCAGAAGAUGUAAUACGAACAUUGAAUUUGAACAUAGGAGAUUUUCUUUUUUUAACCGUUGGCCCUAAGCUUAAUUCUCAAAAACUUUUAGGAAAAUUUCGAAUUGAAUUUACAAACGUAUUGGAAAAUAAUAAUUUAAAAAUACGUUCACCUGGCUACAACUUUUUAUGGCUUAUUGAUUUUCCAUUAUUUAAUGUAAAUGAAUCACAGUUGUUAGAAAGUAUGCAUCAUCCAUUUACACAACCUCAUCCAAAAGAUAUGAAAUAUCUUAGAUCAGAACCUGAAAAGGUGCGAGGUUUACAUUAUGAUUUAAUUUUAAAUGGUUCAGAAAUAGGAGGAGGUUCUAUAAGAAUUCAUGAUACAAAUCUUCAAAAACAAAUAUUUAAAAUGUUAAACAUAAAUGAAAAACAACUUUCACAUAUGCUUGAAGCAUUGUCUAGUGGUGCACCACCUCAUGGUGGUAUAGCAUUGGGUCUGGAUCGUCUCCUUUGUAUACUCUGCAAUACGGAAAGUAUAAGAAGUGUUAUAGCAUUUCCAAAAACAAUAGAAGGACGAGACUUGAUGUCUGGAGCUCCUGUUCCAAUUCCCACAGAAGUCCAAGAGUUAUAUCAUAUAAAAACAAUAGAUGAGCGAAGUAAUAUUUAAAAUUAAAUUUCUUAUUCUACAUUUGAAUAAAUUUAUUAUAUUUUUUGACAAAAAUAAACUCUGCAGAUAACAAUGUCAUACAAUACCAAAAGUUUGUAUAAAUUUUUAUAUCUAUACUGAUAUUUAUAUAGAAUCUUGAAACUUAGAAAAAAAUAAACUGAAUAUUGAAAUUGAAAAUCUAUGUUACUACGUAUAUGAAAUGGACUGUACGAAUAAAUGUUAGCAGGGAUCUGAACUAGGAAGAAUAAGAA